rnacentral:rRNA from 1 species
AACGAACGCUGGCGGCAUGCCUAACACAUGCAAGUCGAACGAGACCUUCGGGUCUAGUGGCGCACGGGUGCGUAACGCGUGGGAACCUGCCCUUAGGUUCGGAAUAACUCCCCGAAAGGGGUGCUAAUACCGGAUAAUGUCUUCGGACCAAAGAUUUAUCGCCUUUGGAUGGGCCCGCGUUGGAUUAGCUAGUUGGUAGGGUAAAAGCCUACCAAGGCGACGAUCCAUAGCUGGUCUGAGAGGAUGAUCAGCCACACUGGGACUGAGACACGGCCCAGACUCGUACGGGAGGGAGGAGUGGGGAAUAUUGGACAAGGGGCGAAAGCCUGAUCCAGCAAUGCGGCGUGAGUGAUGAAGGGCGUAGGGUUGUAAAGCUCUUUUACCCGGGAUGAUAAUGACAGUACCGGGAGAAUAAGCUCCGGCUAACUACGUG